rnacentral:rRNA from 1 species
GUCCAUGCCGUAAACGAUGUCUACUAGUCGUUGGGUCCCUUGAGGACUUAGUGACGCAGCUAACGCAAUAAGUAGACCGCCUGGGGAGUACGGCCGCAAGGUUAAAACUCAAAUGAAUUGACGGGGGGCCCGCACAAGCGGUGGAGCAUGUGGUUUAAUUCGAUGCAACGCGAAGAACCUUACCUGGCCUUGACAUGUCUGGAAUCCUGUAGAGAUGCGGGAGUGCCUUCGGGAAUCAGAACACAGGUGCUGCAUGGCUGUCGU